GCGUGGGGGAUUUCGUUACAUUUGAUUAGCCGUCUUAUACAUUUCCAGGCUAUAGAUAAUCUGUCGCAGUAUAAGAGCUAUGUGGUCUGUAAUUUUUCGCGUGUCAUGUUAGUUUUUGCUAGUCAAUUUUCGAACGAACCUUAAAUUAGGGGCCGCGUGGCCUAUUUUAUCCCCUUUCUGCUUCCCAGUUCUCCACACCGUUGCCUGUACUUGUCCUUGCUAGAGUAACGUCUUUCUGCUAGUUUGACGUUCAUUAGAUAAGCAAGUUUGUUUCGUUUUCGUGUACGAGUUCAGUUUAUUUCAACUAUCAUAUCACUCGACGUCACCGUUGAUUUUUUCAUCUGUAUGCCUUGCGUACGCUCUCAUCUUUCCAAAUUUUCCAUGAAUGUUUCUAUAGUCUUCCCGCAGCUGUUGGUAAUGCAAAUACCCUUCCUCAAUUUGAAAUCUACAAGAUGGUAUUUGUCUUCAAGCUCUAAUUUUAGCUGAGAGUAGAAUGUGAACGAUGAUAGGACAUUUGCGAGUGACACAUAGCAUUCACUUUUAAUAUCUUCUAUGAAUAAAGUUGAAAAACAUUUGUUUUGAUGUUACAGAGUAAGACGAAAUUGAUUUAGUUUGGUGGUGAUGCUGGGAUGUGGAUCUGUUUUGAUCCUAUAGGAAGCCGAGAAGGCUGGCGUGCUUCUAUUUUAUUCCUUGUAUUCUUCUCUGGGACAUAUUUUGGUAUUGAUGCCAGCUUAACGAAUGCAGCUGCAUCUAAUGUUCCUCAUAAUACUGUCACAUCAGAAGUAUCACUACCAAUUUCAACACAUCAUGAAAACGACGAAUGUAGGAAUGUGACCACUGAUAAUAGAGCGGCUACUGGUCUAUCAGUGGUCAGUCAUGGAUCUGGUUCUCCACAUUCGCCGAUAGUGCCUCCAACUUUUCUGUACGGAGUUCUUACCUGCCAACCUUAUCAAGGAAUUUCUGUGAACCACAUCUACUUUCAACUAGCAAAUGCCUUCUUUCUAUUGUCACACCUUGCACCAAGUGGCAUACAUGGUGUACUCUAUUUAAGGUGCACUCUACUCGUGGGCUGUGCCUUUCUUGCUUUGUGGGGCUGGACAAUAGCUUGCUGGCUGGACGCUGCUCUCUGGAAUGUUCUGUUUGUUGCCAUCAACUUCGUCCAUGUAUGCACGCUUCUUUACAAGCUCAGGCCUAUCAAGUUUCCAAGGGAAGUUGAAGAGGUAUAUAUUGCAGUGUUCCAGCCGUUAAGGGUAUCACGUCAACAGUUUAAAAAAGUAUUAAAUUGUAUGAAGGUUAUACGACAGUUGAAAUAUCAAGAAGUUUAUGCCCAAGAAAAAGUGACAAAAGUUGAUUCUUUAUCUUUGGUACUUUCUGGAAAAUUAGUAGUAUCACAAAAUGGAAGAGCAUUACACAUUGUCUUCCCACAUCAGUUCCUGGAUUCUCCAGAAUGGUUUGGUGUCUCCACGGACGAUUACUUUCAGGUAUCAAUAACAGCUAUGGUAGAAUCAAGAAUAUUAUUAUGGCAUAGAGACAAGUUAAAGUUAAGCAUAAUUAGUGAUCAAUUUCUGCAGGCAGUGUUUGAUCAUAUUUUGGGAAGGGAUGUAGUAAAAAAAUUAAUGCAGGUCAGUGAAACAAUGGCUGCUAGUAGUCACCAACAACAAAAUGGACAAGUAAUUGGUUUGAGUGGUAUUGGAGCCUUAGAAAACGAUCCUGACACCAAACUUUUCGUUGUGAAAAAGACUGGUGAUAGUCAAGGUAUCACUGCUCUCAUCAGUCGUCAACUUCAAGAAGAGAGAAUGCCGCUGCUGUACACGACUCAGGAAGUGCUGAACAACACUUUGCAUCAUAUCAAUCACCUACGUACACCUCCCUUAGAUCCUGUGCAACACAAUAAUGUUCAGUCUUCCUUGUAAUAUCCCUGUGACACAGGCUGUGCAAUUACCCUAGCACAAAUUUGUACGUGAUGUAUAUGUAUUAUGUUUCUACAAUGGAUAUCCCAUAUAUUAUACAAAUAUCAUCGGGUAACUUCAUUUGUUAUUUUCUUCUGGUUAUUGUAUUCAGCAGCUGGAGAUCCAAAUGCAUGGAGAUUGGGAAGAAUUGAAGAGACUGAUCAUGAAACUCCUGUUUAAUGAAAUGAUUGUUAGAUGAGUGUCAUCCUCGACAGUCAAUAUAAAAAAAAGCAACAUCGGUCUUUUUACAUAACGAUGAAAUGUAUUCGACAUCAUUGAAAAACAUGGCAUGGUAUGCUAUGCGUGGAACAAUUCAACAUUCUCUUGCCAAUUAAUAAUUUCUCCCACAACUAGUCAAGUAUUAUUAAUAACUGAAAAAAAAACAAGAGCAUUUCAUCGUUUAUAGAGCAUAAUGGUUCCAUCCUAGUUUAUAAAAACGACGUACGAUAAAAGAAAAGAUAUUACUUUAUGCUUCCAAUGUAUUAUUGAAUACCACCAAGUUGAUUUAAGAGUGGCUGUUUCUAAUUUAUACUAAUUUUCCUCUUGAUAUACGUAUGUUUAGUACCAAACGAAAUAAGACUUUAUAUGUGUAAUAGAAUGGAAGUUGUUCGAUCGCAACGGCGUAACUUCUUUACUGAGAGAACUGUGAUUUACUGGAAGUAUAUGGUAUAGAAGAAAAAACAAACAAAUUAGA